rnacentral:rRNA from 1 species
AGUGAACGCUGGCGGUAGGCCUAACACAUGCAAGUCGAACGGCAGCACAGUAAGAGCUUGCUCUUACGGGUGGCGAGUGGCGGACGGGUGAGGAAUACAUCGGAAUCUACUUUUUCGUGGGGGAUAACGUAGGGAAACUUACGCUAAUACCGCAUACGACCUACGUGUGAAAGCAGGGGAUCUUCGGACCUUGCGCGAUUGGAUGAGCCGAUGUCGGAUUAGCUAGUUGGCGGGGUAAAGGCCCACCAAGGCGACGAUCCGUAGCUGGUCUGAGAGGAUGAUCAGCCACACUGGAACUGAGACACGGUCCAGACUCCUACGGGAGGCAGCAGUGGGGAAUAUUGGACAAUGGGCGCAAGCCUGAUCCAGCCAUACCGCGUGGGUGAAGAAGGCCUUCGGGUUGUAAAGCCCUUUUGUUGGGAAAGAAAAGCAGCAGGUUAAUACCCCGCUGUUCUGACGGUACCCAAAGAAUAAGCACCGGCUAACUUCGUG